GGCCCCUUAGCUCAGUGGUUAGAGCAGCCGACUCAUAAUCGGUUGGUCCCCUGCCCCGCUCGCGUUCGGAACCGCGCCGGUGUUGGCA
rnacentral:tRNA from 1 species